rnacentral:rRNA from 1 species
UACGUAGGGACCAAGCGUUGUCCGGAAUCAUUGGGCGUAAAGAGCGUGUAGGCGGCUUGUUAAGUCUUGCGUGAAAUCUCGGGGCUCAACCCCGAGCGGUCGUGAGAAACUGGCAGGCUAGAGUGCGGGAGAGGAGAGUGGAAUUCCUGGUGUAGCGGUGAAAUGCGCAGAUAUCAGGAAGAACACCCGUGGCGAAGGCGGCUCUCCGGAACGCAACUGACGCUGAGACGCGAAAGCGUGGGGAGCAAACAGG